rnacentral:rRNA from 1 species
CAGUCGCCGCGGUAAUACGUAGGUCCCGAGCGUUGUCCGGAUUUAUUGGGCGUAAAGCGAGCGCAGGCGGUUAGAUAAGUCUGAAGUUAAAGGCUGUGGCUUAACCAUAGUACGCUUUGGAAACUGUUAAACUUGAGUGCAGGAGAGAAAAGUGGAAUUCCUAGUGUAGCGGUGAAAUGCGUAGAGAUUAGGAGGAACACCGGUGGCGAAAGCGGCUCUCUGGCUUGUAACUGACGCUGAGGCUCGAAAGCGUGGGGAGCAAACAGGAUUAGAUACCCCUGUAGUCCCUGUCUCUUAUACA